AUAGCGUAUAUUAAAGUUGUUGCAGUUAAAAAGCUCGUAGUUGGAUUUCAAGGUGUGCGUCUUAUGCAAAUAAGUUCGCUACCUACCAGUCCGAAAGGACUGUUACUGUGAGAAAAUUAGAGUGUUUCAAGCAGGCUAUUGCAGGAAUACAUUAGCAUGGAAUAACGAAUGGGUCUAGAAUCUUGGUUAAUUCUAGAUUACGAUUAAUAGGGACAGUUGGGGGCAUUAGUAUUUAAUUGUCAGAGGUGAAAUUCUUGGAUUUGUUAAAGACUAACGUAUG
rnacentral:rRNA from 1 species